UUAAGCAUAUCAAUAAGCGGAGGAAAAGAAACUAACAAGGAUUCCCCUAGUAACUGCGAGUGAAGCGGGAAAAGCUCAAAUUUGAAAUCUGGCAGUCUCUGACUGUCCGAGUUGUAAUCUAGAGAAGUGUUGCCAGUGCUGGACCGUGUACAAGUCUCCUGGAAUGGAGCAUCAUAGAGGGUGAGAAUCCCGUCUUUGACAUGGACUACCAGUAUGUUAUGGUAUGCUCUCAAAGAGUCGAGUUGUUUGGGAAUGCAGCUCAAAAUGGGUGGUAAAUGCCAUCUAAAGCUAAAUAUUGGCGAGAGACCGAUAGCGAACAAGUACCGUGAGGGAAAGAUGAAAAGAACUUUGGAAAGAGAGUUAAACAGUACGUGAAAUUGCUGAAAGGGAAACGCUUGAAGUCAGUCACGUUGGCUAGAAAUCAGCCUUGCUUUUGCUUGGUGUAUUUUCUAGUCCUACGGGUCAGCAUCAAUUUUGAUCAUUGGAUAAAGUCUUUGGGAAUGUGGCAUCUUUGGAUGUGUUAUAGCCCAUUGUCGCAUACAGUGGUUGGGAUUGAGGAACUCAGCAUGCCGCAAGGCCGGGUCUUUUGACCACGCUCAUGCUUAGGAUGCUGGCAUAAUGGCUUUAAUCGACCCGUCUUGAAACACGGACCAAGGAGUCUAACAUGCCUGCGAGUGUUUGGGUGGAAAACCCAUGCGCGUAAUGAAAGUGAAAGUUGAGAUCUCUUUGGAGAGCAUUGACGCCCAGACCAGACCUUUUGUGACGGAUCUGCGGUAGAGCAUGUAUGUUGGGACCCGAAAGAUGGUGAACUAUGCCUGAAUAGGGUGAAGCCAGAGGAAACUCUGGUGGAGGCUCGUAGCGAUUCUGACGUGCAAAUCGAUCGUCAAAUUUGGGUAUAGGGGCGAAAGACUAAUCGAACCAUCUAGUAGCUGGU
rnacentral:rRNA from 1 species